rnacentral:rRNA from 1 species
GCAAGUCACGGGGGCCCGCAAGGGCAACCGGCGAACGGGUGCGUAACACGUGAGCAACAUUCCGAUUUCUGGGGGAUAGCCGGCCCAACGGCCGGGUAAUACCGCAUACGCUCACCGAGAGGAGUCUCUUGGUGAGGAAACCUCCGGGGGAAAUCGAGUGGCUCGCGGCCUAUCAGCUAGUUGGCGGGGUAAUGGCCCACCAAGGCUAUGACGGGUAGCUGGUCUGAGAGGAUGGCCAGCCACAUUGGGACUGAGAAACGGCCCAGACUCCUACGGGAGGCAGCAGUGGGGAAUCUUGCGCAAUGGUCGAAAGACUGACGCAGCGACGCCGCGUGAGGGAGGAAGCUCUUCGGGGUGUAAACCUCUGUUGCCCGGGACGAAUGCUGGAAUUCAUUCCAGUUGACGGUACCGGGUGAGGAAGCGCCGGCUAACUCUGUGCCAGCAGCCGCGGUAAUACAGAGGGCGCGAGCGUUGUCCGGAAUCACUGGGCGUAAAGGGCGCGUAGGUGGCCACUAUAAGGCUGCGGUGAAA